ensembl:snoRNA
AUCCCUUUGUAGUUUCUAAGUAUGAUGAUCAGGUUUUCAUACUCAUGUGUGAGAUAUACCUCCCUCAAACCUCAUUAGGACAUCAGCACAUUACCCAUCUGACA